UGGGUGAGUUAGAGACUUUCAUUUCCUUUCUUUCUGAGCUGCAGUGGGACUCAGUGAGACCAUGCCGUCGGGAGAGAGAGACCGAGCGAGCAGAGAGACAAAAGAGACACGGAGGGAGAGAGAUAGGGAUUUGGUGAGAGGAAGUCAUGCGGCUUGUAGGUAGGCAGAGUCACGGGGGGUGUACGAUUCGAAGGAGAGGGAGAGGGAGACAGCGCGAAAGAGAUAGUGGGAGAGGGAGGAGUAAGGAUCGCUCGCUGAGGGUUUCGCAGUUGGGAUGCCAUGCUGAUGGAGAUAGAGAUAGAGAUAGGAGAAGGAGACAGAGACAGAGUGACAGAGAGAGAAGGAAAGGGAAGAGUGGGGAUCUCAGCGCCAUUGCUGCAGAUCCUUGAUCUUCUUCGAUCCCAUCUCUGUGUUCUUCUCAGCCUCUCACAAUCGCAGCAUCACUCACCCACUCACUCACUCACUACAGCUGAACGAUGAAUACUCUGAGGUGAAAAGAAAUGACCUCUCGAAGGCACCAUGUGGACGGAUACCUGAACCAACUUUGAUGGCACGAUCUUACCUACUAAGCAAGGUUUCAGAGAUAGUUUCAAUUUGGAGAAAUGACCUGAACAAGGUCAAUAAAAAAGUUGCAGAAUCAUUGGCUGAUUCGCAAGAGUGUCCUAAUUUGUUUGAGGACUGACAGGUUUCUCUUGCCUUAGAGUGUAAAGAUGCAGAAAAUAGGGGCAUUCAUCCUCCUGUUGACGUAAGAUACUCUAUUGGGAAAAUGAGGAGGACAAGGAGUUGGACCCUGGAUGUGCUCUUCUUCGUCAAUCCUGCGUCUACAUGUCCUCAUUCACAAGAUAAGUACCAUUUUUAUACUUGAUUUUCUACUGCUUGGUUUGGUUUUAAUUCUCUCUGCCAUUCUUACUCCACACUCUCUAUGUUUCUCACUCAGUUCAAAAGUGUGCUUUUUUGUUGGUUCUUGAUGAAAGAUUGACCAUCGAUGAUUGUUAUUGGUUAUUCAUGGUUGAUUGAGCAUUUUUGUUAUAUGAAACCAUAAAGAAUAGUUGCCUCGAUGCUGAGUUUUUUUAUUUCUUGAUGCAUUUGUGUUGAUCAGGCAUGAAGGGGCGGGUCGAUAUGAAGUGCAUCUGUGGGACAAUGGUUGCAAAAAGAAGGGCAGAGCAGGAAGGGAAGGCAAGCUGGGGAAUUACAAUCAAAUGAUGAAUCUUUAGUUUACUUGGGAAAAGCAAUGGAUUCUCAAGAAGGGCUUUAAUGUACAGAAGUAUUACAAGCCGACGUCAUCAACAUGGAAGAUGGCUAGCCAGGAUUGAAAAGGUUACUGGAGAUAAGGAUCUCUAUCUUGGGCAUUCAGGCUUGGAGAGGCAGACCCCAGAUGGUGUAUGCCUUCACCAGCAUGACCAAGGUGGUUAACCCUGCCAACUGGAGCGACGAUAACCACCCUGAAAGUAACAACAAUGUGGCCUACAAAGAGUACACAAACAAGUCAAGUCUUUCAUUAGCCUUGGAUAUAUUCAGGGUAUGGUUGCUUCCUCCUCCAAAUCCAAAAGUGUAGUUAUAUGUAUAUAUAUGUAUAUAUAUUACUUAUAUACACUACUAAUUUUGUUAGUACUAGGGAAAUAAAUGAUGUUUCUAUGUGCAUAUAUAUAUAUAUAUAUAUAUAUAUAGGUUCGAUUACAAAAUUAUAUCGAUUGAAAAUGAUACUUUAUGUUAUCAUUGACUUGGUAGAUGAAGAUGUUUCAUUUUGAAAAUGAAAGAUAGACUAUACUUGGAACAAAAUUCUUGAGACUGUUAAGGUGUGCUUUUAUAAAGCAUAUUCUCUGCUUUUAAUGCAUUUUCAAUCUGGUCUUUAAUUUGUUUCAAUUGGGCUCAUGAAGUUUGAUUACUCUUCAUUUUCAAUUGUACCAAUUGGGGUCAUAAAGUGGUUCAAAGAGCUCCAAGAGCUUGAUUCACCCAUUUUAUACUUUUCAUGUAAAACUUAUUUCAAAAAGCCAAAACAUCUUUCAUUGUAAAUGAAUUUAACCAUAGGUAACAAUCUUUUAUCCCUUCUUUUUGUUGCAUUGUUUAGGUGGUGAAUUGCACGGAAAGUGGGGGAGAGGGGUACAAGUUAUUUAAUUUGAGCAAAAUAGUAGCAUUUAAGCUUAGUUGGUUAGUGAGGAUUAGAGUCAAUAAGGCAUCCUCUGUCUAGCUAUAUCUGAAAUCUGAAUUCAUUGAACGAUGAAUAAGGUUGUAGUGAGAGAAAUUGAGAAAGUCAAGAAAAGAUGGUCCGUACAGUAUGUUGUAUGUUUCGGGAUAUCACAACAUCUUAAUUUCUGCUCUCAGGUUGCUGAAAGUCUGUAAUUUUACUUGCUACUUGAUUAUAAAAAUGUAAAACAAAAUAUGUACAUGAUUUACAAAUUUGGGUUUGAUUU